rnacentral:rRNA from 1 species
GAUGAACGCUGGCGGCGUGCUUAACACAUGCAAGUCGAACGGAAAGGCUCCUGCUUGCAGGGGUACUCGAGUGGCGAACGGGUGAGUAACACGUGGGUGAUCUGCCCUGCACUUCGGGAUAAGCCUGGGAAACUGGGUCUAAUACCGGAUAGGACGAUGGUUUGGAUGCCAUUGUGGAAAGUUUUUUCGGUGUGGGUUGAGCUCGCGGCCUAUCAGCUUGUUGGUGGGGUAAUGGCCUACCAAGGCGUCGACGGGUAGCCGGCCUGAGAGGGUGUACGGCCACAUUGGGACUGAGAUACGGCCCAGACUCCUACGGGAGGCAGCAGUGGGGAAUAUUGCACAAUGGGCGCAAGCCUGAUGCAGCGACGCCGCGUGGGGGAUGACGGCCUUCGGGUUGUAAACUCCUUUCGCUAGGGACGAAGCGCAAGUGACGGUACCUGGAGAAGAAGCACCGGCUAACUACGUG